CCCUUAGAUGUCCUGGGCCGCACGCGUGCUACACUGACGCCUACAGCGAGUACUUCCCAGCCCCGAGAGGUGACUGGUAAUCAGCAAUAGGCGUCGCGAUGGGGAUAGAUCUUUGGAAUUAUGGAUCUUGAACGAGGAAUGCCUAGUAAGCGCAGGUCAUUAGCCUGCGCUGAUUAAGUCCCUGCCCUUUGUACACACCGCCCGUCGCUCCUACCGAUUUCGAGUGGUCCGGUGAAUCUUUCGGACUGCGCGCGGCCUCGUGCCGUGUCGCGGAAAGUCAGGUAAACCUUAUCACUUAGAGGAAGGAGAAGUCGUAACA
rnacentral:rRNA from 1 species